rnacentral:rRNA from 1 species
AUUGAACGCUGGCGGCGGGCCUAACACAUGCAAGUCGAGCGAGCGGCGGACGGGUGAGUAAUGUCUGGGAAACUGCCUGAUGGAGGGGGAUAACUACUGGAAACGGUAGCUAAUACCGCAUACCAUCAGAUGUGCCCAGAUGGGAUUAGCUAGUAGGUGGGGUAACGGCUCCCCUAGGCGACGAUCCCUAGCGGGUCUGAGAGGAUGACCAGCCACACUGGAAUUGGGACAGGGUCCAGACUCCUAGGGGAGGCAGCAGUGGGGAAUAUUGGACAAUGGGCGCAAGCCGAAGGCAGCCAUGCCGGGUGUGUGAAGAAGGCCUUCGGGUUGUAAAGCACUUUCAGCGGGGAGGCGUUACCCGCAGAAGAAGCACCGGCUAACUCCGUGCCAGCAGCCGGGGUAAUA